GGNGCUCUCCCNUAUGGUCGACCUGCAGGCGGCCGCGAAUUCACUAGUGAUUAGAGUUUGAUCCUGGCUCAGGAUGAACGCUGGCGGCGUGCCUAACACAUGCAAGUCGAACGAAGCAAUUUAACGGAAGUUUUCGGAUGGAAGUUGAAUUGACUGAGUGGCGGACGGGUGAGUAACGCGUGGGUAACCUGCCUUGUACUGGGGGACAACAGUUAGAAAUGACUGCUAAUACCGCAUAAGCGCACAGUAUCGCAUGAUACAGUGUGAAAAACUCCGGUGGUACAAGAUGGACCCGCGUCUGAUUAGCUAGUUGGUAAGGUAACGGCUUACCAAGGCGACGAUCAGUAGCCGACCUGAGAGGGUGACCGGCCACAUUGGGACUGAGACACGGCCCAAACUCCUACGGGAGGCAGCAGUGGGGAAUAUUGCACAAUGGGCGAAAGCCUGAUGCAGCGACGCCGCGUGAGUGAAGAAGUAUUUCGGUAUGUAAAGCUCUAUCAGCAGGGAAGAAAAUGACGGUACCUGACUAAGAAGCCCCGGCUAACUACGUGCCAGCAGCCGCGGUAAUACGUAGGGGGCAAGCGUUAUCCGGAUUUACUGGGUGUAAAGGGAGCGUAGACGGUAAAGCAAGUCUGAAGUGAAAGCCCGCGGCUCAACUGCGGGACUGCUUUGGAAACUGUUUAACUGGAGUGUCGGAGAGGUAAGUGGAAUUCCUAGUGUAGCGGUGAAAUGCGUANAUAUUANNAGGAACACCAGUGGCGAAGGCGACUUACUGGACGAUAACUGACGUUGANGCUCGAAAGCGUGGGGAGCAAACAGGANUAGAUACCCUNNNANUCCACGCCGUAAACGAUGAAUACUAGGUGUUGGGGAGCAANNCUCUUC
rnacentral:rRNA from 1 species